CACAGGUUCCUGCUUCCGGCUGUCUUUCCAAAUGGGGACUGUCGAAGGUGGUCUACCUGCUCUCCCCAUGGCUAAAGGGGACAGUGGCACGACCAGAGGCAGGUGAAACCCAGUCAGAGACGAACACGAUGGUUUAGAGAAGUGACAUUUGCGGAUCACAAGGUUUCGGAAGUUGGAGAUUCUUUUGAAUGGAGACCGCUUGUGGACUGACCUACUAGCAGGAAUCAAGACAGUGUCUGACAGCAGCAAGCAGUGGCUUCCUGUAAUACGACAUUCCCUGUACAGGCUGUGGCUCUUUUGUGAGAAGCCAGUGUUCCUUGGUCUGUGGUCUGAGACCUGCCAUCUGAGAUGCUGCAACUCUCUGGAGCUGUGCUGGGGACCAGGGCCCGAGAGGUUCUGUUCUUAGGCUCCUCGCAGCCUUUUAUCAGUGCUCUCUACUUCUGUCUUUCCUGCUCCCGUUCCUGUCCUAGCCACUUCAACAGAAGCUUUCAGAAGAAACAAAGCAAAGCAAAGAGCAGAGAAGUCCAGUCUGGGAGACCUUUGUGGAGCAUGAGUGUGUGUGUGUGUGUGUGUGUGUGUGUGUGUGUGUGUUGAUGCUGAGAAAUGUUUAACCUGCUCCCACUCUCACCCCAGAUGUUGGAUACAUGCAUUCUGUGUUACAGAUCAACAGAUAAGUAAAAAGAGAAUUUUCCUUCUAGAAGUACAUUUAUUAAGAGUAUGUUGUUUUGUGGAAAUGUGAAAACAUUUUAAAAUGAUGUUUUCAUUGUGUGCAGGGAUGUCUGUAUGAGCACAGAUGCACACAGGGACAGGAGAGGGUGUUGGGUCCCCUGCAGCUGGGGGUCCAGGCGUUUGAUGGAAGCUGGGAACAGAACCCAGGCCCUUUAUUAGAACAGCGAGCAUUUAAACCACAUAGCCAUUUCUCUUGCCCUGUAAGUUAUAAAAUUUAGACUAUUUUUAGUAAAUGGAAACCCAGGUCCUCCUUAGUGAUGAACCCAAAUAGCUCUAACAUAAACCUUGAUGUGCUAUCGUAGGAGGAUUAGAGGUACACUGACAAUGGGAACUGUGAGCAAACUCUGCUUCAGACAUGCUACCCAUUGAUCAGGGACUGAUGUGGGUGAUCUGGCUGGCUAGGCAGGUGCUGCUUCCCCCUCUUUCCACUUCACAUGAGCACCAUUCUUGGUCCAAGAAGAGACAGAGGAGGAACAUUCUUCAGGGAAGGGACUAGCAAUGCUUCCCUUCUAGAACAAACUUGCAAUAUCUAUUUCAAGAGAAUGUUGCUUAGUUCUCAGGAACCUUGGCACAUCUAAAUGAGUUAUGUACAUGUGUCAGUGUCCCUUUAAAUAAACAAACAUGCAAACAAACAUCUUAGUGCUUAGAAAAGACAUUUUACCAAUUCUUCAAACUAAAGUUUGAAGCCUUUUGGGAUAGGAGAAGAUUUUGUAGUUAAGACCUUUGUACAGAGAAACAUGCCAUUAAUCUCUGAUAGUUAUAAUAAGUGUUAGAUUAUAAAUCACUCUAAAAAGUCUGAUUGUGCUUAAUACAGUGAUCAUGAACUUGAGUGACCACAGAACACUUCUCAGUUUCUCUAUGUGUUGAGGGACUAAUUUCUGUGGAAAUUAGAUUUUAAGGUAAAAAUAACAAAGACUUUAAUAUAAUUUAAGUCAUAGUCAGAUGAGGGUCAGUUUAACCUUAAACAUCAAUUCCUGGCAAAGCAUAAUAAUUGUUUGAGACAUUACAUGCCAACUUUUUGACAGAUUUUUCUUAGUUAUUUUAGUUUACUUUCAUUAUUUUGGUUAAUACAUCAGGACCAUGGUGAAGGCCAUGGCAUUCUCAAAUGUCUUGUCAAAGCAGACUUAACUGUUAGUGGGAGGGGAGUGGUAGAGCGCUGAGAACUGUCUAAUCAAACACAGAUGACAGUCAUUUUAUAAACAUUCUGCUCUCUGUGCACUGGACAGUACCUGACCUUGGGUAGGUUUGUGUGCCACCAAGAGGGGACAUUUCCUUGGUUACAGUGGGAGCUCCCUCUUGGAGGUUAGCAGCAUCUAAUUAGCAUAGUCUCCCAGCUGGUAGUUUCUGAUUGGUUAAGUUAGCAUUGAGGUGGGCUCAGUUGCUUUUGAAGGAACAUUAGUCACUACAACAGUGCUCUACAGUUUUGUGUCAACAUGACAUGACCUAGAGUCAUCUGAGAGGGGGAGCCUCAAUGUU